UUGACGUAGACCCGAAACCGGGCGACCUACCCAUGAGCAGGAUGAAGCGAAAGUAAAAUUUCGUGGAGGUCCGAACCCACGAGCGUUGAAAAGCUCGGGGAUGACUUGUGGGUAGCGGUGAAAUUCCAAUCGAGCCCGGAGAUAGCUGGUUCUCCCCGAAAUAGCUUUAGGGCUAGCCUCAAGGUGAGAGAUACGGAGGUAGAGCACUGAAUGUCCUAGGGGGUAUUGCACCUACCGAAGACUAUCAAACUCCGAAUGCCGUCAUCUUAUACUUGGGAGUCAGACUGUGGGUGAUAAGAUUCAUAGUCGAAAGGGCAACAGCCCAGAUCGUCAGCUAAGGUCCCUAAAUGUAAGUUAAGUGGUAAAGGAUGUGGGAUUGCACAGACAACCAGGAUGUUGGCUUAGAAGCAGCCACUCAUUCAAAGAGUGCGUAAUAGCUCACUGGUCGAGUGAUCCUGCGCCGAAGAUUUCCGGGGCUAAAACUUACUACCGAAGCUACGGCAUCAGUAAUGAUGGGUAGGGGAGCUUCCCAUACGGGUUGAAGCAUGACCGUAAGGACAUGUGGACAGUAUGGGAGUGAGAAUGUUGGCAUGAGUAGCGAGAUGUGGGUGAGAAUCCCACAGGCCGUAAACCCAAGGUUUCCAGGGGAAGGUUCGUCCGCCCUGGGUUAGUCGGGACCUAAGCUGAGGCCGAAAGGCGUAGGUGAUGGACAACAGGUUGAUAUUCCUGUACUACCGAUAACCGUUUGAGAGAAGGGAUGACACAGUAGGAUAAGCUAAGCACACUGUUGGUUAUGUGUGCCCAAGCAUUGAGGCAGUCAAAGUAGGCAAAUCCGCUUUGAUAAUGCUGGGAUGUGAUGGGGAGCGAAAUUUAGUAGCGAAGUAGCUGAUUUCACACUGUCAAGAAAAGUCUCUAUCGAGGUUAAAGGUACCCGUACCGCAAACCGACACAGGUGGGUGAGGAGAGUAUCCUAAGGCCAGCGAGAGAACUGUUGUUAAGGAACUCGGCAAAAUGACCCCGUAACUUAGGGAUAAGGGGUGCCACCAUCAGGUGGCCGCAGAGAAUAGGCCCAAGCGACUGUUUACCAAAAACAUAGGUUUCUGCUAAGUCGCAAGACGAUGUAUAGGAGCUGACGCCUGCCCGGUGCUGGAAGGUUAAGGGGAUCUGUUAGAGCAAUCGAAGCAGUGAACUUAAGCCCCAGUAAACGGCGGCCGUAACUAUAACGGUCCUAAGGUAGCGAAAUUCCUUGUCGGGUAAGUUCCGACCCGCACGAAAGGCGUAACGAUUUGGGCACUGUCUCAACAACAGACUCGGUGAAAUUGUAAUUCCGGUGAAGAUGCCGGAUACCUGCGACAGGACGGAAAGACCCCAUGGAGCUUUACUGUAGCUUGACAUUGGGUCUUGGUACUACAUGUACAGGAUAGGUGGGAGGCUUUGAAACCAGGACGCCAGUUUUGGCGGAGCCAUCCUUGGGAUACCACCCUUGUAGUACUGGGACUCUAACCAUAGGCCAUGAAUCUGGUCUUGGGACACUGUCAGGUGGGCAGUUUGACUGGGGCGGUCGCCUCCCAAAAGGUAACGGAGGCGCUCAAAGGUUCUCUCAGUACGGUCGGAAAUCGUACGUAGAGUGUAAAGGCAAAAGAGAGCUUGAUUGCAAGACAUACAGGUCGAGCAAGGAUGAAAAUCGGACUUAGUGAUCCGGUGGUUCUGCGUGGAAGGGCCAUCGCUCAACGGAUAAAAGCUACCCUGGGGAUAACAGGCUUAUCUCCCCCAAGAGUCCACAUCGACGGGGAGGUUUGGCACCUCGAUGUCGGCUCAUCACAUCCUGGGGCUGUAGUAGGUCCCAAGGGUUGGGCUGUUCGCCCAUUAAAGUGGUACGCGAGCUGGGUUCAGAACGUCGUGAGACAGUUCGGUCCCUAUCCGUCGCAGGCGUAGGAAAUUUGAGAAGACCUGUCCUUAGUACGAGAGGACCGGGAUGGACGUACCUCUGGUGUACCAGUUGUUCUGCCAAGGGCAUGGCUGGGUAGCUAUGUACGGAAUGGAUAAGCGCUGAAAGCAUCUAAGCGCGAAGCCAACUUCAAGAUAAGAUUUCCCACCGCAAGGGUAAGACCCCAGAAAGACUAUCUGGUUGAUAGGUCGAAGGUGUAAGUGCAGCAAUGUAUUUAGCUUAUCGAUACUAAUAGGUCGAGGACUUGACCAA
rnacentral:rRNA from 1 species